GUUGUAUGGUUAAGUGAUUAAGCGUAGACGGUGGAUGCCUUGGCAGUCAGAGGCGAUGAAGGACGUACUAACCUGCGAAAAGCGAUGGUGAGCUGGUAAGAAGCAUUUGAGCCAUCGAUGUCCGAAUGGGGAAACCCACCUGCAUAAGCAGGUAUCUUAGCGUGAAUACAUAGCGCUAAGAGGCGAACUCGGGGAACUGAAACAUCUAAGUACCCGAAGGAAAAGAAAUCAAUUGAGAUUCCGGCAGUAGCGGCGAGCGAACCCGGAGCAGCCCUUAAGCGGCUUAGGCGUUAGGUGAACAGGUUGGAAA
rnacentral:rRNA from 1 species